rnacentral:lncRNA from 1 species
AUGGAUAUGCUGCUUCAGGAAAUGGCAGAUGAAGGUAUCUCUUUCUUUCUAGUUCAGCUGAAAAUCCUACCAGAGGAAGAGCAAAGUUGGAAUGAAAAGUUCCCAAUAAAUUACUACAGGCAUUUACUAAAGGCAGAAAAAAAAAGAAAUACUGGUCAAGCUGACCUUUUUACAACCAGGACAAAGCUUAAAGGCAAAUGAUGUGUUUUCAAGCCAAAGAUGAGUGUAAAGUGGCUGAUACAGGCAUAACUCAGAGACAUAGUAUGUUGGGUUCCAGACCACUACUAUAAAGUGAAUAUCACAAUAAAGUGAGUCACAAAAUAUUUUUUAGUUU